UACGUAGGGUGCAAGCGUUGUCCGGAAUUAUUGGGCGUAAAGAGCUCGUAGGCGGUUUGUCGCGUCGAAUGUGAAAACCCGGGGCUCAACCCCGGGCCUGCAUUCGAUACGGGAAGACUAGAGUUCGGUAGGGGAGUCUGGAAUUCCUGGUGUAGCGGUGAAAUGCGCAGAUAUCAGGAGGAACACCGGUGGCGAAGGCGGGACUCUGGGCCGAUACUGACGCUGAGGAGCGAAAGCGUGGGGAGCAAACAGG
rnacentral:rRNA from 1 species